rnacentral:rRNA from 1 species
UACGGAGGGGGCUAGCGUUGUUCGGAAUUACUGGGCGUAAAGCGCACGUAGGCGGAUUGGAAAGUUGGGGGUGAAAUCCCGGGGCUCAACCCCGGAACUGCCUUCAAGACUCCCAGUCUGGAGUCCGAGAGAGGUGAGUGGAAUUCCGGGUGUAGCGGUGAAAUGCGUAGAUAUCCGGAGGAACACCGGUGGCGAAGGCGGCUUCCUGGACCGACACUGACGCUGAGGCGCGAAAGCUAGGGGAGCAAACGGG